CUUCGGUGAUGAUACGAUGACGAGUCAGAGCGGGCGUUCUCUGCGGAGCGCUCUGCCCGGCGGCACGUUCUGUGACCCUGGACUCGGCUGCUCUGCGGGUUUUGCCCUGGAUACUGAUUGAACUUGAGGCAUUUGUCUGAGAAGG